rnacentral:rRNA from 1 species
AUUGAACGCUGGCGGAAUGCUUUACAUAUGCAAGUCGAACGGCAGCACGGGGGCAGCCCUGGUUGCGAGUGGCGAACGGGUGAGUAAUACAUCGGAACGUGCCCGGUCGUGGGGGAUAACGUAGCGAAAGUUACGCUAAUACCGCAUACGAUCUGAGGAUGAAAGCGGGGGACCUUCGGGCCUCGCGCGAUCGGAGCGGCCGAUGUCAGAUUAGGUAGUUGGUGGGGUAAAGGCCUACCAAGCCGACGAUCUGUAGCUGGUCUGAGAGGACGACCAGCCACACUGGGACUGAGACACGGCCCAGACUCCUACGGGAGGCAGCAGUGGGGAAUUUUGGACAAUGGGCGCAAGCCUGAUCCAGCCAUUCCGCGUGCAGGACGAAGGCCUUCGGGUUGUAAACUGCUUUUGUACGGAACGAAAAGGCUCUGGCUAAUACCUGGGGCUCAUGACGGUACCGUAAGAAUAAGCACCGGCUAACUACGUG